rnacentral:rRNA from 1 species
AUUGAACGCUGGCGGCAGGCCUAACACAUGCAAGUCGAGCGGAUGAAGGGAGCUUGCUUCUGGAUUCAGCGGCGGACGGGUGAGUAAUGCCUAGGAAUCUGCCUGGUAGUGGGGGAUAACGUCCGGAAACGGGCGCUAAUACCGCAUACGUCCUGCGGGAGAAAGUGGGGGAUCUUCGGACCUCACGCUAUCAGAUGAGCCUAGGUCGGAUUAGUUAGUUGGUGGGGUAAAGGCCUACCAAGGCGACGAUCCGUAACUGGUCUGACAGGAUGAUCAGUCACACUGGAACGUAGACACGGUCCAGACUCCUACGGGAGGCAGCAGUGGGGAAUAUUGGACAAUGGGCGAAAGCCUGAUCCAGCCAUGCCGCGUGUGUGAAGAAGGUCUUCGGAUUGUAAAGCACUUCAAGUUGGGAGGAAGGGCAGUAAGUUGAUACCUUGCUGUUUUGACGUUAACAACAGAAUAAGCACCGGCUAACUUCGUG